AAGUUCCAAAGGCUGGGACAAUGUGUUUCAACCCCUGACCCUCCGCGUUGCUGGGGGCUGCCAGCCAUUGUCUGGGCAGGCAAUCCACCCACCCAGGGAGAAACGCAGGAUCGUCUAUGGGGAGGCAGCUGCUGUAUUUUAUUCUGUUUAACGUUUGCUUGCUCUGUAUAACAUCUGAUUCUGUCAAAUGUCACAUCAGAGUCUGAGAACAAGCCACAAACCAAGUGAGAGAUCUCUCGCCAGAAGCUAAGGCAAGAAAAUAAAAGGCCUUUCCACUCAAGUGAUUUGUAUUCCUAGUGAUUCGGAUGGCCUGGAUAGCAAGACCAGACAAAUGCAGAGUUUCUCAGCAGAUACAAGGGGAUCAUAUUCAGGUUUCAGGAGCUGUCCACCAGAAUUAGAUGAUGCAGCAAUGAUGAUAUGAUAAUUUUGAUGGAAUUUUAAAUAUCCUUUGCAUUUGUACUCAAUAUUUUACUUCUGUAUUAACAUGCCCAUGAGCAGAGAUUUCUCUUCAAUACAACGAGCAAGUCAACCUA